rnacentral:rRNA from 1 species
AUUGAACGCUGGCGGCAUGCCUUACACAUGCAAGUCGAACGGUAACAGGUCUUCGGAUGCUGACGAGUGGCGAACGGGUGAGUAAUACAUCGGAACGUGCCUAGUAGUGGGGGAUAACUACUCGAAAGAGUGGCUAAUACCGCAUGAGAUCUACGGAUGAAAGCAGGGGAUCGCAAGACCUUGUGCUACUAGAGCGGCCGAUGGCAGAUUAGGUAGUUGGUGGGAUAAAAGCUUACCAAGCCGACGAUCUGUAGCUGGUCUGAGAGGACGAUCAGCAACACUGGGACGGAGACACGGCCCAGACUCCUACGGGAGGCAGCAGUGGGGAAUUUUGGACAAUGGGCGCAAGCCUGAUCCAGCAAUGCCGCGUGCAGGAUGAAGGCCUUCGGGUUGUAAACUGCUUUUGUACGGAACGAAAAGCCCUGGGUUAAUACCCUGGGGUCAUGACGGUACCGUAAGAAUAAGCACCGGCUAACUACGUGCCAGCCGCCGCCGUAAGAC